rnacentral:lncRNA from 1 species
CUCUUUGUCAGUUCUGACAUUUACUCAUUUUUUGUCUACAGAGAGUGGAUGAGAGCUCUCUGCCACUGUCCGGGAGGGCUGGGGCUGGGUGAGGUCUGGGGGCUGGGUGAGGUCUGAGGGCUGGCUGGCAGCUAGGAGGAGGGAGACAUGACGCUGACGGCCCUGCAUUGCUGCUUCCUCCAGCUGAAUCUACCACCCUGACUUGUGAGUGUCGAGGGCUUUCUGGGGAGCUGCUGGGACUAGAGAGGCGAGAUCAGCAGGUGGGUGGGCCUGGCCUCUCAGCUGGCCCAGGCCCUUCCUCUGCUCAAGCCCCCGAAGGGUCUCCUGGAGAAAGCCCUGGAGCAGACACCAGCCCUGGCUCGCUGCAGCCUUCGAGCCCCACUCUCUCCUCUGGACCUCAGUUUCGCCAUCCAUCCAAUGGUGACCACUCAGUCACUGCCAGAUCCUGAGCAGAUCCGUCCUGGCCCUGGGGAGUGGACCAUCAGGGGGCAGGGCUGGCCAGUGAGCAGAGAGCUGGCGGUGACAUGGGCUCAGCACAGAGCACCACGUGGGGCCUGGGAGGAGCCAUGAGAGCCGGCAGCCCUGCCUGUCCUCCAGAUGAAAGCGAGGCCCGCAGCCUGAGAGGGAGGGAGGAGACGCUAAUUACGCCCAGCGCGGGGCUCCCCAGGCAGCCUCAGCCACAGGAUCAAACACCGCCUUCCUCAGCCACGCGCCCGGGAGGAGGUGAGACUCCACUCCAGGGGAGGGGCUCGGACACUGGACCAGAUUGAGGACUAGCUAAAACAGGGCCGAGGUGAAAGCAGCUUUCAGUCAGACCUGCCCACCAGUGUGCCAUGUCAGUUUACCAUUGCCAUGGCAACACCCUGGAGUUACCACCCCUUUCCGUGGCAACGACCCAAUGACUAUUACCCCAUCCCUAGAAAUUCCUGCACAAACCACCCCUUAAUCUGCAUGCCAUUAAAAAUGGGUAAAAACAUGACGGCAGAACUGUCCUGAGCUGCUGUUCCCUGCCUAUGGGGAAGCCCUGCCCUGCAGGAGCAGUCACGGAGCUGCGACACCACCAGAGCUGGGACACCACCAGAGCUGCGAGACCACCAGAGCUGUGACACCACCAGAGCCGGGACACCACCAGAGCCGGGACACCACCAGAGCCGGGACACCACCAGAGCUCCGAGACCACCAGAGCUGCCACACCACCAGAGCUGUGACACCACCAGAGCCGUGACACCACCAGAGCCGGGACACCACCAGAGCCGGGACACCACCAGAGCCGCGAGACCACCAGAGCCGUGACACCACCAGAGCCGGGACACCACCAGAGCUGGGACACCACCAGAGCUGCGAGACCACCAGAGCUGGGACACCACCAGAGCUGCCACACCACCAGAGCUGCGACAGCACCAGAGCCGGGACACCAGCAGAGCCGGGACACCACCAGAGCCGCAACACCACCAGAGCUGCGACACCAGCAGAGCCGCGACACCAGCAGAGCCGGGACACCACCAGAGCCGUGACACCAGCAGAGCCGGGACACCACCAGAGCUGCGAGACCACCAGGGCCGGGACACCACCAGGGCCGGGACACCACCAGAGCUGCGAGACCACCAGGGCCGGGACACCACCAGAGCCGGGACACCACCAGAGCUGCGAGACCACCAGGGCCGUGACACCACCAGAGCCGGGACACCACCAGAGCUGGGACACCACCAGAGCUGCGAGACCACCAGAGCUGGGACACCACCAGAGCUGCCACACCACCAGAGCUGCGACACCAGCAGAGCCGCGACACCAGCAGAGCCGGGACACCAGCAGAGCCGGGACACCACCAGAGCCGUGACACCAGCAGAGCCGGGACACCACCAGGGCCGGGACACCAGCAGAGCCGGGACACCACCAGAGCCGUGACACCAGCAGAGCCGGGACACCACCAGGGCCGGGACACCACCAGAGCUGCGAGACCACCAGGGCCGGGACACCACCAGAGCCGGGACACCACCAGAGCUGGGACACCACCAGAGCUGCGAGACCACCAGAGCCGUGACACCACCAGAGCCGUGACACCAGCAGAGCUGGGACACCACCAGAGCUGUGAGACCACCAGAGCCGGGACACCACCAGAGCCGGGACACCACCAGAGCUGCGAGACCACCAGAGCCGUGACACCAGCAGAGCCGGGACACCACCAGAGCCGGGACACCACCAGAGCCGGGACACCACCAGAGCUCCGAGACCACCAGAGCUGCCACACCACCAGAGCUGUGACACCACCAGAGCUGUGACACCACCAGAGCCGGGACACCACCAGAGCCGGGACACCACCAGAGCUGCGAGACCACCAGAGCUGGGACACCACCAGAGCUGGGACACCACCAGAGCCGGGACACCACCAGAGCUCCGAGACCACCAGAGCUGCCACACCACCAGAGCUGUGACACCACCAGAGCCGGGACACCACCAGAGCCGGGACACCACCAGAGCCGGGACACCACCAGAGCUGUGACACUGUGGCUUCAGUAAAGCUGUUUCUUCUACCACUGGCUUGCCCUUGCAU